CCUACGGGUGGCUGCAGUGAGGAAUAUUGGUCAAUGGGCGGGAGCCUGAACCAGCCAAGUCGCGUGAGGGAAGACGGUCCUACGGAUUGUAAACCUCUUUUGUCGGGGAGCAACGCGGUCCACGCGUGGGCCCGUUGAGAGUACCCGGAGAAAAAGCAUCGGCUAACUCCGUGCCAGCAGCCGCGGUAAUACGGAGGAUGCGAGCGUUAUCCGGAUUUAUUGGGUUUAAAGGGCGUGUAGCCGGGUUGUCAAGUCAGAUGUGAAAUUCUGCGGCUUAACCGCGGCACGGCAGUUGAAAUUGGGGAUCUUGAGUACGCGAGAAGCAUGCGGAAUGCGUGGUGUAGCGGUGAAAUGCAUAGAUAUUACGAAGAACUCCGAUUGCGAAGGCAGCAUGCUGGAGAGCAACUGACGCUGAGGCGCGAAAGCGUGGGGAUCGAACAGGAUUAGAUACCCCAGUAGUC
rnacentral:rRNA from 1 species